rnacentral:lncRNA from 10 species
CACCAUUUAAUGAAAACAGCAUAUUCAAGAUCAGUCCCUAGCAGGCCUAAAGGACACAAACAGGUGACCCAGAUCUCAUGUCACCUACUUAUGUUGCACCAAUGUGUUUCCUUCAGCUCCUGGUUGUAGGGAGUUCUCUAUCACCAGCUGAUGGAGAAGGAAAACCUUGGGCCUACUUCACAGAUAAGUCAACUCCAUAUUCCGGUUGAACCCAAAAAUGUACCACUAUCUCCCAGUAGCCUGCUGCAAGGGUAGCCCUGAAAUUCAGCAGUGAAGGGAAAUCUUCCCAUUGGAGAGGGCCUUGAACACUUGAACUGAUCCCCAACCUGAUGUGGCGGGAGAAGGGCCCUGAGGUUACGACAGUCACAUACCCACAAGCAGUAGAGAAUGGCUUAGCUGGCUAUGGUCAAGAGCCUGGAAAGGGCAAGAUUGCAAAAUGAGGAAAAAUGGGGUGGAUCAUUCUCAUUGUCCACUAGAGAGCAUUCCCACAGAGCAGGCAUUGAACAACCAAACAGACAGGAUCCUGAGGAUGUCAGCCCACUGCUGCCCUUAAGCGCCCCAGUGAAUGAAGCUUUGAUAACAGGGACUUAAAUACAUGGGUCUGAAGACCAAGGGCUGGCAGAAGAGGUAGCCCUUCUUAGCACCAUUCCCAGUGACCCACCGGAGGAAUCCAUGCCUCUUGUCCCUGCACAUUUAGGAUCUGAUGAACCUGAUUCCAGGGUCGGGGGGAAAUACCUGAAGCAGGAGACACAGUAAGGGUUCCUCUAAUCCUAAAGUGAGGGCUGUUCCCUGGUCAUUUUGGGGUCCUCAUGCCAGCAUACCAGCAAGCAAAGAAAGAAAUUAUCAAACCAGGAGGGGAAAUUGACCUGAUUCCAUGAGCAGUUAGGAUUUCUGCUACAUCAUGGGGGCAGAAAGGAACAGGUCUGGAAUUCAAGAGAUCUGCUGGGGAUGCUGCUUUGUGCUUCUGCGCCCAGGGAUAAGCAUGAAUGGGCAACUCUCUCAACCAACGGCCUGACAAAGUCACAGUAGCCAGGGGCUCAGCCUCUCAGGGAUAAUGGCUUGGUCCAUCCCACCAGGCAAGCAAAAUGUAGCAGAAAUGCUGGCUGAGUGCCAGGAGAAUGUAGAACCAGUUGGUGGUGAAAGAGCAACAUGAUGAUUAUCACUUACAACCUCAGAAUCAACCACAGCAGCAAAAACUUCGUCUCACUAGCCCCUUAGUUGUCUUUUUUAUUUUAUUAGGAUCGGUCACAUUUGAAAGAAACAGUCAGGUUGCAGUCAGGUUAACUGGGCCAUGAGGGGGUCUGAGUAGUGCAAGGGGAGGAUCAGAAUAGACGCUGUCAGUUCCCUGUCCAUAUCCCCUGCACACUUACCGUUCCAGUACACACCAACAGCAUCCCUACACCUGCAGCUCUCCCCCUAGAGCUCGCCUGAAGUGCUGGGGAAUCAAGGUACCCAGAGGUGUUGAUAUGAGUGGGAUGCUGAUGAUAGGGAGGUGAGGGAGGAUUCACACUGGGUUUCCUCAGCCUUCAGCAUGAUGUAAUCAUUUCACAAUACACAUAUAUAUCAAAAUACCAUGCUGUACACAUAAAUAAACAUAACUUUUUGUCAACUAAGAAAAUAUUUGUUAGGUUACAAACUCCCAAUAGGGAAAUUUAAAGCACCCUGAGUUUGAUAUCUGGGGCUCUCCUUGGUAUCCCUAAAAUCACACCACGUAGACAGCUACAACUCACCUAUGCCUAAAACACCUUUAGGGAGCCUUUGAGAACUCAUGGCUCAUGGAUCCCAGCAAUGCAAGAAGAUCCCACCCUAAAUCCAAACACAGAGGGAGGGGAUAGAGGGAAACCCUUGAGGAAAUGAAUCAAGAAGCAGCGAGGCACCAAGAAGGAAGAAACCAAAGAGGAGGCGACAGACUAAGGGCUUGAGGGGAGAGAAAGCCAGGAGAGAAACUACACACAGUCACCCACAAGCAAACAAAACCUGCACAUACACACAGUCAAAGGAGAAGCAUCAGCCGAGACCACAGAUGAAAUUUAAAGUUGUUAUGGCAACCAGAACA